AUUGAACGCUGGCGGCAUGCCUUACACAUGCAAGUCGAACGGCAGCACGGACUUCGGUCUGGUGGCGAGUGGCGAACGGGUGAGUAAUGUAUCGGAACGUACCUUUCAGUGGGGGAUAACGUAGCGAAAGUUACGCUAAUACCGCAUAUUCUGUGAGCAGGAAAGCAGGGGAUCGCAAGACCUUGCGCUGAUUGAGCGGCCGAUAUCAGAUUAGCUAGUUGGUGGGGUAAAGGCCUACCAAGGCUACGAUCUGUAGCGGGUCUGAGAGGAUGAUCCGCCACACUGGAACUGAGACACGGUCCAGACUCCUACGGGAGGCAGCAGUGGGGAAUUUUGGACAAUGGGGCAACCCUGAUCCAGCCAUGCCGCGUGAGUGAAGAAGGCCUUCGGGUUGUAAAGCACUUUCACCGAUGAAGAUAAUGACGGUAGUCGGAGAAGAAGCCCGGCUAACUUCGUGCCAGCAGCCGACGGUAACGGAGUAGUGUGUUACG
rnacentral:rRNA from 1 species